AACGAACGCUGGCGGCAGGCUUAACACAUGCAAGUCGAACGCCCCGCAAGGGGAGUGGCAGACGGGUGAGUAACGCGUGGGAACAUACCCUUUCCUGCGGAAUAGCUCUGGGUAACUGGAAUUAAUACCGCAUACGCACUACGGGCGCAAGAUUUAUCGGGGAAGGAUUGGCCCGCGUUGGAGUGGCUAGUUGGGGGGGUAAAGGCCUACCAAGGCGACGAUCCAUAUCUGGUCUGAGAGGAUGAUCAGCCACGUUGGGACUGAGACACGGCCCAAACUCCUACGGGAGGCAGCAGUGGGGAAUAUUGGACAAUGGGCGCAAGCCUGAUCCAGCCAUGCCGCGUGAGUGAUGAAGGCCUUAGGGUUGUAAAGCUCUUUCACCGAUGAAGAUAAUGACGGUAGUCGGAGAAGAAGCCCCGGCUAACUUCGUGCCAGCCGCCGCGGUAAGAC
rnacentral:rRNA from 1 species